UCCUGGUUAGUUCAGUUGGUAGAGCGCUCCACUGGAAAUGGAGAGCGAGGUCCCUGGUUCGAUACCAGGACCAGGCA
rnacentral:tRNA from 2 species